rnacentral:sRNA from 1 species
UCCUCUUCGACGGGGAUACAGCGAUGGA